UACGGAGGGGGCUAGCGUUGUUCGGAAUUACUGGGCGUAAAGCGCACGUAGGCGGUCUUUUAAGUCAGAGGUGAAAGCCCGGGGCUCAACUCCGGAAUUGCCUUUGAAACUGGAAGACUUGAACACGGGAGAGGUGAGUGGAAUUCCGAGUGUAGAGGUGAAAUUCGUAGAUAUUCGGAGGAACACCAGUGGCGAAGGCGGCUCACUGGACCGUUGUUGACGCUGAGGUGCGAAAGCGUGGGGAGCAAACAGG
rnacentral:ncRNA from 2 species